UUGCGCAAUGGAGUAUUUAUUUUGCUACUGAGCUGUGUAGGUAGUGGAGUUGGAUUAAAAUACUGCUAAAUGGAGUUUGAAUUGGUCAUAGAGAGAAUUGAGGAGGGAUAUUUGGAGAGAUUUGAGGAGAGAAUAUUGGGAUUUGGGGAGGUUGUUGUUGUGGAGUGAUAAUAGUAGAAAAUUAAGGGAUUUGGAGGUUAUCAAUUGGGAUUUUUUUUUUCUUUUCAAUUCUUUUUAGUUCUUUUCCAAAAUUGUAGACGUUUCAAUUCUCCCAAUCCCCUGCCGAUUUCUUUUUGCUGAUUUUCCUUUCUCUUUUCCUCUCUUUCGUCUUUGGCACUUUCCGAUUCAGU
rnacentral:lncRNA from 1 species